rnacentral:rRNA from 1 species
GGCGAACGCUGGCGGCGUGCCUAAUACAUGCAGGUCGAGCGGACUUGACAGAGCUUGCUCUGUUCAAGUUAGCGGCGGACGGGUGAGUAACACGUGGGCAACCUGCCCUGCAGAUUGGGAUAACUCCGGGAAACCGGGGCUAAUUCCGAAUAACAUUGGAAACCUCAUGGUUUCCUUUUAAAAGGCGGCUUCGGCUGUCACUGCAGGAUGGGCCCGCGGCGCAUUAGCUAGUUGGUGAGGUAACGGCUCACCAAGGCGACGAUGCGUAGCCGACCUGAGAGGGUGAUCGGCCACACUGGGACUGAGACACGGCCCAGACUCCUACGGGAGGCAGCAGUAGGGAAUCUUCCGCAAUGGACGAAAGUCUGACGGAGCAACGCCGCGUGAGUGAAGAAGGUUUUCGGAUCGUAAAACUCUGUUGUCAGGGAAGAACAAGUAUGGGAGUAACUGCCCGUACCUUGACGGUACCUGGCCAGAAAGCCACGGCUAACUACGUGCCAGCCGCCGCGGUAACAC